CGUGCGUACAUAUUAAUAUUCGAGUUUCCCGGAAGGCCGUGAUAAAUUUUACGGCAAAUAUUAAACCGUUUUUAGGUUUAAACGCGUUAAAUCGGACGUUUCGGACGAAAGCUCGCCGUAAUAUCGUUUCUCUUUACAGCCAUAAAAAACGUUAAAAGACGUUAUGUUAUUAACACCGCCGCGCCGUCGAGACUUUCGCGGUAUUACUAGUUUUUUUUUUUUUUUAUCGUUGUUUACCUCGAUUUAAACGUCUUGUAACUCGUUCAUACAUAUUAUUAGACGUAGAAACGUCUCGGAAACGGGCGCGUAUUGUGUGAGUAUACAAAUAUCGACGAGAUAAUUCGCUUCGUUCCCCAACCAGGGCAAUACUGCGAUGUUACAAUUAGGGCGGCCCGGAUUCAAAUGUUAAAUUUAUGGGUUUUUUUUUUUUUUGUGUGUGUUUGAUCCAAGACGACGCUUUCCAAGUGCACAAUUUGUUCCGCGUAACAGAUAAAUGCAUUUUUCGCAACGUUUGUCGGUCACCGUUUUAGUAGUUUUAAUCGCAUAGGUAUUUUUCACAUUGUAUGAAUAUUAAUCGUUUAAAUUAAG